CAGACAGCAAGGAAGCCGACAGAACCGUAAGUGAAGACCUGGAAACUGAAAUUCGCAUUCAGGAGGAAAAUGCCAUUCCCUGCAGCAGGACAUCAUAAACCUUGAAGUAGAGCCUAAUCCAACGAGCUCCUAGUGGUGCUGGGAAAUGAAAUGUGUAUGCCACCUGUUCACCAUUGGUGCAGUGCACGCCCCAGGGUGUGCCAAGCAGACACACUGAAACAGGAGCUCAGUGGCCAAGGGGGAGAAGCAACGCCCACUGCCCAGCCUCAAAGCCACAGAGAGACCGGGCAGGACUCGGGCCUGCAGGGAGCCACCAGUGCCAUCACGCGGCCCUGUGAGCUGUGAUUCUGGAGGCGAAGGUCCAAGCCACCCACUCCCUUUCAGGCUCCUGGGUGGGUCGCCGACGUGGGAGCUGCAGCCGCUCUGCACUUGAAAGCGCUGCUCCACACCUGUCUGCAGAACCAGCUGCGACACAGCGAUCAAAACCUCCCAGGAGGAGACAUGAUUAUGAGCAUUUUCAUCUCUGAAACCCUGACUUCUAAUCCGCCAGUCAAGUCUGUCCCCAGUGAGUGAUCUCCGAGGUUCCAGAAGGCUGAAGCUCGCUCUGCCACAGCUGUACGCUUGUUUCUCACAGAGGCUCGUACGUACAAACACACCCGCGCCAAGAUUCCAUUGCUCCUCAGAUGUUGUGCUCCUCCCAGAGUCCAUUUCAUAUUUGGCAGCUGCUAAUAGAAGAGGAGUUCAAAUGCACUCACAAUAAAAGAGCGAUCAGACAGGAAGAUGGAAGUCCCGCUGAUCCCCGUGAUCUGCCUGCUCUCUGAUGGACACAUGAAUGAAAUAGCCUGCUGUACCGCACAAAUGUGGGUAAACACCAGGUAUUUACCAAGGACACAGCCAGUUUUGCAAAGGUAGAUUUGAGUUACAGAAAUUAAUAUUUUAAAUUUAAUUUACGUUCACACAUCUGUGAACCAGUAGAUCCUCGAAGAGUGCGUAGAUUUUUAAAUUUAAUAUUUUUUUUGUUAUUGUUUUCGUUCUUACUCCUACUCUCUUCUUUUCUUGUCAUUUCUUUCCUUCCCCCCCUUGCCUUCCCUGACCCCCUUCUGGUUUGAAUAUUUCCUUCCUACUUGUUCAUAGGUUUGUGUAUUGUUUACACCUUGUGACUAUUUGAUAUUUCUCCUCUGACAAUUUGCACAUGUGCAUUUAUUUGAGGCUUUGUUUUCAGUUUUUUCGUGUAUAUAUGAAGCAUAGGAUUCCUGCACUGUAGGGAAAUUUUCUAUCUCAUUCCCUGAAGAACAGCUGCCUUUUUCCAUUGAAAACAAACCUUUUUACCUUGCAACCAGCAAGAAUGAGAUACAAAGAUCCCAAUCCUCCAUGUUUCACCAACACUGUAAGACUUCAGAGUAUUACUGGUUUUCAGUGUCGCCAUCCCAGUAAAAAUGAAAUGGCAUCUCUCUUGUUUUGAUUGUAUUUCCAUAAUAAGUGGCGAUACUAACCACCUUUGUUGGCUAUUUGUGUAUUUUCUGUAGAGAUACAGUUUAGUAUUUUUAAAGGCAGCUGAAGAUGGCCGAAACCAAUUUUGUGUUAAUCUGGCUUAUUUUGUAUGAUAAGCACAAUUCCAAAUGUCUAUACUGUGACACCAAAAUGUUUUAAUGAAUUAAAACUGUUAUAGUAACCUGGGACAAGAAUAUUGUGUUGGUUAAGCUGAAUUGUGUGUAGAAAUAGGGAAAAAUAGAGCAAUUAAUCAGCCAACAUUUUAUAGCACAUAGUUUGGGUCCGGAUUAUUAUUGCAAGGUGUAUCACACAA